rnacentral:tRNA from 1 species
GCCCUCGUAGUUCAACGGAUAGAACAAUGCUCUCCUAAAGCGUAGAUAUGAGUUCGAUUCUCAUCGGGGGUA